GGGAAUGUGGCUUAGUGGUAGAGUGCUUGCCUAGCACGCAUGUAUCCCUGGGCUCAAAUCCUCAGUACCA
rnacentral:tRNA from 1 species